UACGGGGGGGGCAAGCGUUGUUCGGAAUUACUGGGCGUAAAGGGCUCGUAGGUGGCCAACUAAGUCAGACGUGAAAUCCCUCAGCUUAACUGGGGAACUGCGUCUGAUACUGGAUGGCUUGAGUUGGGAGAGGGAUGCGGAAUUCUCGGUGUAGCGGUGAAAUGCGUAGAUAUCGAGAGGAACACCUGCGGCGAAGGCGGGUAGCUGGGCCGACACUGACGCUGAAGCGCGAAAGCGUGGGGAGCGAACAGG
rnacentral:rRNA from 1 species